UAACGCGUGGGAAUCUGCCUAUCAGUGGGGAAUAACGACGGGAAACUGUCGCUAAUACCGCAUACGCCCUUCGGGGGAAAGAUUUAUCGCUGAUAGAUGAGCCCGCGUACGAUUAGCUAGUUGGUGAGGUAAUGGCCCACCAAGGCUACGAUCGUUAGCUGGUCUGAGAGGAUGACCAGCCCCACUGGGACUGAGACACGGCCCAGACUCCUACGGGAGGCAGCAGUGGGGAAUAUUGGCCAAUGGGCGAAAGCCUGAUCCAGCAAUGCCGCGUGAGUGAUGAAGGCCUUAGGGUUGU
rnacentral:rRNA from 1 species